rnacentral:tRNA from 1 species
GCCCUUGUGGCGUAAUGGCUAACGCGCCUGACUUCUAAGCAAACCGUGUUACCAAAAACAUCGGUUGUAGGGUAUCAGAAGAUUGCAGGUUAGCCCUGCCUCGGGCU